UAGAAAACUGCUCCUUUGAGUGUUUUUAGAUACGCAUGAAGAUUCUCUCGACGAAAAGUGUUUCUUCAUGCUUUUAUUAUACCA
rnacentral:antisense_RNA from 1 species